rnacentral:rRNA from 1 species
GACGAACGCUGGCGGCGUGCUUAACACAUGCAAGUCGAACGGUGAAGCUCCAGCUUGCUGGAGUGGAUCAGUGGCGAACGGGUGAGUAACACGUGAGCAACCUGCCCCUGACUCUGGAAUAAGCGCUGGAAACGGCGUCUAAUACUGGAUACGAGAGUGGUCCGCAUGGGCACUCUCUGUAAAGUUUUUCGGUUGGGGAUGGGCUCGCGGCCUAGCAGCUUGUUGGUGAGGUAAUGGCUCACCAACGCGACGACGGGUAGCCGGCCUGAGAGGGCGACCGGCCACACUGGGACUGAGACACGGCCCAGACUCAUACGGGAGGCAGCAGUGGGGAAUAUUGCACAAUGGGCGGAAGCCUGAUGCAGCGACGCCGCGUGAGGGAUGACGGCCUUCGGGUUGUAAACCUCUUUCAGCAGGGAAGAAGCGAAAGUGACGGUACCUGAAGAAGAAGCACCGGCUAACUACGUG